GUGGAGGGCAAGUCUUGUGCCAGCAGCGCGGUAAUUCCAGCUCCAAUAGCGUAUAUUAAAGUCGUUGCAGUUAAUAAGCAUUUCUGAGUUCGUAGUUGAUUAUCGGUUGGUCGGGCUUCGCUGUCCGCACUGCCCUGAUUGAUUCCUCCCUUCUGAAUAACCAGCAUGCUAUUAAGUUAGGCGUUGGGGAAGAAGAGCUACUACCUUGAAAGAUUAGUGUGCUUAAUGUUGGCUUAUAGCGUGAAUAGAUUAGCAUGGAAUAAUAAAAUAGGACGCAUUGUUCUAUUGUGUUGGUUUCUUGGAUCCCCGUAAUGAUUAAUAGGGAUAGUUGGGGGCAUUAGUAUUCAUUUGUCAGAGGUGUAAUUCUUGGAUGUAUUGAAGACUAACUUUUGCGAAAGGAUUUGCCAAGGAUGUUUUCUGCUUUUCAACGAGGAAUCCCUCGUAAGCGUGAGUCAUCGGCUCACGUUGAUUACGUCCUUGCCCUUUGUACAUACCGCCCGUCGCUACUACCGAUUGAAUGGCUUAGUGAGACUCUCGGAUCGGCUUUUUGGAACUGGCAACGGUCCCUUUUAUCUGA
rnacentral:rRNA from 1 species